UAGCAUCGAAAAGGGACGGGUUGUCCAGCUGGAUUGUUCCGUAUAAUUUUGGUGCAAUAUAGUAGAGAGGCGCAGUGUUACUCUUCAUCACGUCUUCUGUGAACGGGGAGUGUCAAGCGCUUCCCACAAUU
rnacentral:snoRNA from 1 species